CUCCGUCAGACUGCGUUUAGGAAGCCAGAGUGCUCUGUAGAGGUGUUGGACGUGGGUGGCACGUUUUCUGAUGUGCUUGGCGCCUGGUGCACAAUAUCGGGAUGGCUUAUGGGAGGAAAUUGAUUUCUCAUUUGAAAGCAGAUGCCAAGUGGAUACAGCUUCUUGGUUAAGAUGGGACCUUUGUUGCUCUCAGUGCUGGGACCCUGUCUGGCUCGACCCUGUACAGGCUCUGCAGGCCGCCGUGGUCUCGAGAGUUCAUACGUGAGUGAGACCUGCUAGGACUAGCCUGUUUCCUUGGUGUCAUCCGUCCCCUCUGGCUCUUAAAUCUGUCUGUCUACUGUUCCGCGUAGAUUCUCGAGCCCUGAGGGGAGGGGGUCUGACGAAGACAUCCUGUUUAGGACUGAGCACUCCACGGUCUCUCACUCUGUGUACAUUGUCCAGCUGUGUUAGGUCUGUCUCUGUGUUAGUUCCCAUCUGCUGUAAGAGGCAGCUUCCCUGAUGGCGGGCUGAGUCCCAGUCUACUUCUACUUAAGAAAAAGUAAAAACAAAACAAAACAAACGAAAACCCCAUUGACCCCAAACACCUCAGAAAAAACAGUUCCAACAUGUGAACAUCCUGAUGAUGUUUAAAUUUAAUAACAGUCUUAGGUUUUUCUAUUGUUAAACAAUUAGCAGUGUUCUUAUAUCCAGCAAAGAGUCAACCUAGGGAUUAAGGAAGCCACAGGGCAUGGCCUACAUUGUCCCUGAGCUGUUCCAGAUAGGUAGAACCCUCCCGGCUUCACCAAAAUUUGACAAAGGCCACUUGCCCUUGUCUGUCACUGCAGGCUCAGCCUCUCCUUCCUGUAACUAUUCGACCUUGUGCUGAGUCUCCCAUACUGUGAAGGCCUACCCACCAGGCUGGGCAUGCUCUCCUCUAGCUCCCUCCUUCACAGACUGUAGCCCCCAGAGGAUCCUGGGACUUCCCAGGUCAGGUGUAGAGUGGAAUCCCAGCAUGAAAACGAAGUAGCUUAUUGAUCGGAUUGACCCUGUAUGACAUGCAAUUGAAAUGUCUAUGUUUGGGGUUGGGGAUUUAGCUCAGUGGUAGAGCGCUUGCCUAGCAAGCGCAAGGCCCUGGGUUCAGUCCCCAGCUCCGAAAAAAAGAACCAAAAAAAAAAAAAAAAAAAAAAAAGUCUAUGUUUGAGUAGAAAUCCCUUCCUAAGAUCCAAAAUAAGCACAUUACAUCAGAAAUAAGGCCAUCUUUGUGUUUUUCCACAGCAGAGUCCAUUGAAUAAAAAUAGGUCCACAAACUAUGUUAAUUGGUUUUAUUGGCUACAAUUUAUAGAAAUCCAGAUUUCUCUUGACAGUAUGGUCAUGAUGUUCACAAGUUCCUUUAUUCCAAUUUGUUUGUUUGUUUGUAUUUAUUUAUUUAUUUAUUUAUUUAUAGGCAGGAUCUCACUAUGUAGCCAUGGCUUGCAUGGAACUCAGGUAGAGUAGGCUGGCCUCUAACUUAGAGAUCCUCAUGCAUCUGCUGCCUCAGUGCUGGGAUUAAAGGCAUAUAUCAUUACUCCCAGCCUGUAUUAGAAUCUUAAUUCCUAAUAUUAAUUUAGCACAUGUGUUGCACUUUAUGAAACUAACUAUAGGUCACAGUUUAAAAACACCUUACCGAAGGCAGAGACAGCAAGGUGACAUGGAUGCCAAGAAAGAUUCUGGUGGUUAGCUAAGGAAUUUUUCCCUUUAUUUAAUUAAUUAAUUUAUUUAUUUAGAGAUAGAAUCUCACAAUAUGGCUCUGGCUAUCCUGGAACUCACUGUGGAGACUAAGUUGGCCUUGAACUCACAGAGAUUCUUCCACACCUCCAGAGCGUUGAGAUAAAAGGUGUGCACCAUUGGGCCCAGCUGGUUAGAUAAUUUUUUAAAAAAUAUUUAAUUUUAUGAUUUUUAAGUGUGUGUAUGUGUGCGCGCGCGCGUGCGCGCGUGUGAGUACAGGUGCCUACAGAGACCAGAGGAAUCAAAUGUUCCUGGAGCUGAAGUUAUAGGUGGUUGUGGCUGGCUGAAAUAGUUGCUGGGAAUCAAACUUGGGUCCUUUGAAAAAGCAAUCUGUCCUCUUAGCUGCUGAGCCAUCUCUCCAGCCCCUUGAUAAGAACUCAGAGAGUUCUUUAUGGAACUCAGAGAGUUCUUUAUGGAACUCAGAGAGCUGCUGUAGGCACCCAGGUGCAGAGCUGAGGUAAGUUGACAGGAAAUUCAAGACCAGCCCAGACCAUCGUGGUAAUUCAAAAGGACACCAAGCAAGCAACAGGGACUAUACUGAGCUGAAGCCGCAGGGGCAGACUUUUACUCUAUCCGCUCCUUCAUACAGACAUUGGAUGGUUGAGCAAUUGUUAGUGGGGCUACCACAGUGUUACUUGUCCCUUAUUUUAACAUGAACUGGGUGAACGAUCUACAUCCUUUGGUUCAUCUUCCGUGUUUAGUAAGCCAACCAGUCUGGCUUUCCUGAGAUGGUUUUAAUGUGUCCAUGUAAUCCUGAUCUGCUUUGAUACGGUCAUGGGUGGUCAUACACAGCUAAUAGGUUUUCUCCUCUGAUGGAGUAAGUCAAUUCACGUGGAACAGGGUAGCCCGUGCCAUGGUGGAGCAGGCCAGCCCACGGGUACCUCCUGAACUAAGACAAGGAGACCCAAGGAGAAGCAGGUUUAUUUGGGGCAGCUCUCAGAUAACUCUGACUGGUUUCAAGAAAGGGUGAGGGAAGUCAGGCUGCAGGCAGGGGUUUGGGAGGUGGGGAGCAGAGAGAGAAAGAGAGCACAGGUGCUGGCGGGCCCUUUUAUCUGCAGCUUGCAGCUGGCACACCUGGCGGCAGCAGGUGUUAAUGUAAGCAGUUGCUAGUUCCCUGAGAGCAGGCCAGUGGGACAGCCUAUAUAUUACCAGGGUUAGGGUUAGGGGUUCCGGUUUGAAAGCCCAACAAAGGUCUUUAACUUGUUUUAAUCCUCAUGACUGAUGCCGGACAGGUUUGGGAGUGUGUGUAUGUGCACAGAUGAGACACAGUUGUCCUGUGUCUGUGUCACAGUGAAGCCUAAUGAUGCUUUGUAAAAUGUAGUCUCCCAGGGCAAAGCACAGCCUAAAAUUCACUAUUCCGCUGACUAUGGAAGGCCUCACAGCCUGAUAUCCAUAAAUGUCCCAGGGAGAAGUUUUGUGCAAGGAAACCUAAAGUGAGCCAAACCCCAAGGAGAUUCCAUGUUCUUUAUUUAUUUGUAUUUGAGACAGAGUCUUGCUAUGCAAUUCAUGCUUGCCCUUCAGCUAUGAUCAUCCCGCUAGGAUUACAAGCCGGAGUCACUAUACCAUACCUGGCUUGAACUCCGAUCUUUUUUUUUUUUUUUAAAGAUUUAUUUACUUAUUUAAUGUAUGUGAACACACUGUCGCUGUCCUCAGACACACCAGAAGAGGGCAUCAGAUCCCAUUGCAGAUGGUUGUGAGCCACCAUGAUGUGGUUGCUUGGAAUUGAACUCAGGACCUCUGGAAGGGCAGGCAGUGCUCUUAACCACGGAGCCAUCAGUCCCUGAACUCCAUUUCUUCAGCACAAAUUCAAAAUGGGUUGUAAUGGAGGACUAUUCCAAACACGUGACAAUACAGAACUUGGUCAAGGAGAACAAACCGCUCCUCCUGAUUCCCGCUUAGAGCUGCUGUGGCUCACGCUUCUCAGGCCUGGCACGCGGCCCUGGCAGGAUGGACUCACUGGUAUGUGCACAGGAGAGAUUGUUUCCUGCCCUGUAGAGCUGGGACCAACAGGGCCUGGCCUGGAGCUGGUUUCUUGGCGGCAAGCCCGAGCUGCAGCCUGGAAGCCUGCGUCACUACGAGACUCUUGUUUAGAAGUCAGGAAGGCUUGAGUUUCUGUUUGUUUUGUUUGAAAGUCUUUCUCCGUGUUUUAUGUAUUCUGCCACAGCCAAGGUUGCCCUGACCACAGACUUUUAGUUCUUGCUUGUGAGGGAUGGCGUGGCUUGAGACCCUCUGGCUAGAUUAAUAGUUCCAAACUCUCUUUUGGAAAGGUUAAAAAGUUACUUGGAUGAGGAUAAGCUUCAUAUCACUCCAGUUUUCAAACACAGUUUGUAAGGGGUCUCUCAGGAGAAAAGGCAGAGUUCCUUAGGUCCUGGUGUCUGUGAGGGAAACGAGGACCUAGGAAGGGAGAGACUCUAGUCAGUCCAGAAUGAGAGAAGAACAGAUCAUUCCUCCCUCAAAUUUCCUCUGGAGAUCUGGCUGCCGGGAAGCAUUCCUCACUGGGCCCACUGUCUGGCUUUGAAUGGAGGCUUGGGGGGAAGUGUCCUGCUUCCCACCCCUUUCUCCACAGGGCCGGUGGAAGAACCGGAGUGGAGCUUGGCUGCCUACAGAUUAGCCAGCCCUGGACAGUGGGCCUCUGGACAGAUGGAUCAGUGAUUCCCCCUGGGGAUCCUCAGAAUCUGCUCCUAGAUCUAAGAAGUGAAGCAAGACCAUUGAAAGGCUCAGGCAGCUCGGGCUGCCCCACAGAUUGGCCCUGUAUUGAGAAGGCUCAGGAAUGCAGCUGAAGACACAAGGGCUAAGUAAGAGGAGGAGGCCAUAAAAGGUCAGCACCACCAUAGGCUCAUGGGACAGAGAGAACCUAGGAAGUUCAGAUUUGACUCAGACACAGGAGGCAAGUGUGUGAAGUGAAUGUAGAUUCUUCAGUGAAUGGUACCGGAGCAGCUGCAGGGCUGGGGGGCUGGGGGGACAGCGUGAGAUCUGUAUUUCACACCAUACACAAGAGAACCCCAACGGGUCAGGGAUCUGAACACGAAAGCUGAGACUGCACAAGCUUCCCAGGGAACUCCCUAGCCUCAACGUUAAGGCAUGCCUUUCUGAGGAACAUUUAAAGACCAGACGCAACCACAAAGACCAGAGGAGUGCACAUGGUUAUGAAAUGCUAGAAAUUUAUAUGACGAGAAACCAUAAACAGGGUACAAAGAAAACUGACACCCUAGGACAAAGAUGCUUAAAACUUCUGGGGCUGGAGUUGUAGCUCAGCUGUUGAAGGGCUGGCUCAACAGGCACAAAAUCCCGGGCUCCAUCUUUGGUCCUGCAUAAAUCAGGAGUGGGAGCAGACCCCUGCAAUACCAGCAAUACAGGGUGAAUGGACAGGAAUCCGAGAGUGUAAAUGCCAACCUCAGCUACCUAGCCAUCCAGGGAUACAGGAGACCCUGACUCAGUAAACAAACAAGCAAGCAAAAGCAGCGUUUACCAGGAACUGGAUGUGGUGGUUCAGCCCGGUCAUCCUAGCAGUUGGGAGGCUGAGCAGGGAUGAUAGCGAGUUAGAGGCUAGCCUGGCCUCCAAAAUGAGGCCCUGUUUCAAGAACAGAGAAGAAAGACCCCAAGUCAAGGGCUGGAGAGAUGGCUCAGUGGUUAAGAGUUCUUGUAGAGGACCCAAGAUUCAAAGGAAGGCUCACGACUGUCUGUAAUUCUAGUGUCAGGCGACCUGAUAGCCUCUUCCAGGCAGCAGGCACACACAUGGUACACAGACAUAUAGACAAUCAGUAUAGUCCUACACAUAAAAAUAAUCUUUAAAAAAAAUUCCUCAAUUCUACCUUGUGGUUUGACAGAAAAUGGCUCCCAUAGGCUCACAGGCAGUGGCACUAUAAGGUGUGGCAUUGUUGGAGGAAGUGUGUCACUACAGGGUGGGCUUUGAGGUCUCAGAAGCUUGACAGGCCUAGUGGCUCACUGCUUCUUUCUGCUGUCUGCAGAUCAAGAUGUAGAACUCUCAGCUACCUGCAGGCCACCAUGCUUCCUGCCAUGGUGAUAGUGGACCAAACCUCUGAGCUGCAAGCCAGCCCCAGUUAAAUGUCUUUGUUUAUAAGAAUUGCUGUGGUCAUGGUGUCUCUUCAUUGCAACAGAAACCCUAAGUAAGACAUACGUUGAAGAAAAAGUUACUACCCCGCCUUAGUUUUUUGUCUGUGAUAAAAUACCCUGACAGAAACAACUCAAGGAAAAAGGGUUCAUCUUGGUUCACAGUCCCAGGCUACAGUCCUUCACUUUGGGGAAGUCAAGGCACCCAGAGCUUGAAGCAUCUGGUCACAUUAUGUCCACAGUCAGAAGAAGAGAGUAAUAAAUGCCGGCAAACCAGUGCCCAACUCACGUUCCUUGUUUUAGAUGGUACAGAAUCCCUUGCCCAGGGAAGAGUCAUGCUGACAGGAGGUCUUCCCUACAUUAACUGGUUAUGAUAAUCGUUUACUGACUUACAGAGAGCCUAAACAGCCCCGGUGCUCAGAGACCUGUUUCUCAGGUGAUUCUUGGUUGAGGUAAGUUCCCUUCUGAGUUAAGAAGCUUCUUUCUUUCAAGAUUAAGAUAUUGGAGUGAGUGUAUUAUAUUGUAGAUAUAUUUGGAGUCAGGGGAUAUAUUGACGUAAGGUUGGAAACAAGUGUACUUCCAUGAGCCCACAUGAGAACAAUUAGUUCUGCUAUUGAGAAGUUGUGUGGGCGUAGGGAUUUGGCUUCUAGUAUGUAGGCUUGUGGCUGUAGUUGGAUCCCUUUGAAAUAUAGCAUAUCUUACUCUGUAAAGGAGCUUGUUUUAGGGCACUUUCAAUCUGGGGCUUUUGCAGGGUAAUCAAAGAUAUGAGCAUUGUUGAGGAGAUGUGAGGAUGUAGAGUUCUUGGGGAGGAGAGUUGUGGGGAUGAGGGAUGACUCAUGUACAAGGUUGGGCUCUAAUAAGUAAGCAUGGAGAAGCCGUAGCCCAGAUAGCGAUGCAUUAGAAAAAUAUGGUGACUGAUGAGAGCUUUGGUAAAUCUGUACUGAGAAUGAGGAGGGGGCUGUGAAGCCAGACUUUCUCUGCCUCAGUGCCAAGUAGUACAGUUGCAGCUAAGGUGCUAGAGGGAAGGUGGCCAGCUUUUGGUCACGAUGUGUAGCUGUUUGGAGAUAUAGGCUAUGGGGCAAUAUGUGUGUCUCCCCCCACCCCUGCCUUGGCAGAGUAUUGUAAAGGUUUGUCCUUGGUUAGUAUGUGAAUGUGAAAGGACAAGGCCUUGUGUAGGUCUGGAAGAGCUAGCAUAGAGGCAUGAGAAUGACCAGAUCUAAGCAGGUUUAUGGGACAAACAAGGGCUUGGGAGACAAGAGUGGCUCCUCCAGGCGUCCCUUAGUGGCUUCGUAAAGAGGCUGUGCAGUGAGGGGGAAGUUGGGGAUCCAUAUAUGGAAGACGUUAAAGAGGCCUAGUAAUGCAAGAAGUUCACACUUGGUUUGUGAGGCGGGUGGUGUGGACCGCAUGACGACCACUGCUGCUUGACAGAGGUCCAGCACAUCGACAUCACGGAUGAUAAUUCUCUACCAUCCUUGACUUUCAUCUUUGAUGAGUCUCACUGUGCGUUAAGGGAGUUUCCUUACACUUUUCUCCUUUGGGAUAUUUUGCAUGAGCUUUGGCAGAGGGUGUGUACAAUGGCAGUCUCUCUAAACAAAAUCACUCUUUGGCAAAGGUCUCCACCGCAGUGGAACCACGCAGAGUGAUCACUCUGCCUACUCCUACACAGGAAUCCCUAUUGUGCCCCAUUGUUUGCACCAAGCAUAGAGAAGUUAAAAAUUUACUCACUGAAAGAUGGUGCCAGAAAUUCUUGGGUGCAUUCGGUCUGGAGGGUGAAAGCACACAAUCGAGAGAAACAAUGGACCCAGACCUGAGGCCUUGGCAGUUGAGGUGAGAGUUCAGUUAGUAAGUAUAGAACAGUGUCCAGCAUUGACUCCCUGGUACGGGACUUACAGGAGGAAUGGCGAGGCUGGUGUGCCCCAUGAGAAGCAGAUCCUGAUGAGAAGGUAGACUGGCUUGGUCCCCCUCUGCCAUGGACAGCAGCAGGCACUGAAGGAAUCAGGAUGGUUUGGCCAAUGGAAAAAGAGUAAGAUGCCAGGCCCUUCCCUUGGGGAGCUCAGGAGGAGGACGGGCCGUGUUGUGAGACUGAGGCACAAAGGAACACGACUAGGAGACGGCUCGAUGUUAUUAUGCUACCUGGUGCAAACGCUGCCUCAUGCAUGCCUCUGAGGAAUGAGAGCUGCUCUCAUGGGUUUGUUUCUCAAGACUCAAUGUCUGGCACCCCCCCCCCCGACCACAAAGGCUGACCGCAAAGGCUGAGGGCCUUCGAGAGGAAAUGGAAAAGGGGCACCUGGUGGGGUUACUGAACCUCAUUAAACAAUGGGGACUUAGAUGCUUGGGGAACUUACUGCUUUUGCUUCAAAGAAAAAUAUGGUAAUAAGGUUGAUGACCUCUUUCAUUCUGGAUGUUGGAAAAUAGGGCUAAAAUAGGUUAAAAACAGUCUGUGGAAAGAUCAUAUAUUUCUUGGAAUUAAUAAGCCUGCUUUCAACAUUACCUGUAAUUAAGCUACUAUGCAAAUAGAGAGUUUAAAAAUGUGUAAACUUGUUUUCAAUAAACACAUGAGCUCUCCUG